AAACGGAGAGAGAGAAGAGGGCGAUUGAGUGAGACGACGAUGAACAGACCGACAAAUGGAACAUGAAGAAGAUGAAAUCGACCACGAAGACCACGAAGAUACACGAAGCUAUCUCUCGAUCUUGUGAAGGAGAACACAAAACACUACCAGAUUAGGGCUCCAUUUCAAGUGUUUGGAAAAUUUGGAAGAAAUGGACGUAGUAUCACCAUUACCAUCUGAAAUGUGUCAAUCAUCUGCCAAUUCUUCCCAAAAAUGUUACAUUCCUCAAGUUAAGAAUGACGUGAUACCGAAAAUUAAUCAAGAGUUUGUCAAUUUAGACGCCGUUCAUAAGUUUUACAACAAUUAUGGUAAAGAAUCAGGAUUUGGUACGCGAGAACAUUCUAGCAGGAAGAAUGGGGAUAAAGAAGUCAUUAGGAAAGAGUAUGUGUGCUGUAAACAAGGCUACUCGGUGCCCAAAAAACCUGUACAAAUUAAUGGAUCCUCCAAACGGCGUCGGGGGAUAAUUAGAGAGGGUUGUGGUGCGAAAUUGGCAGUUGUGGGAUCAAAGUCCGGUGACAAGUAUGUUGUCUCCCAAUUUGUUGAGGCACAUAACCACCCUCUUACGUCUCCAAGGAGGACACAUUUG